rnacentral:rRNA from 1 species
AUUGAACGCUGGCGGCAUGCCUUACACAUGCAAGUCGAACGGCAGCGCGGGAGCAAUCCUGGCGGCGAGUGGCGAACGGGUGAGUAAUAUAUCGGAACGUGCCCAGUAGUGGGGGAUAGCCCGGCGAAAGCCGGAUUAAUACCGCAUGAGACCUGAGGGUGAAAGCGGGGGAUCGCAAGACCUCGCGCUAUUGGAGCGGCCGAUAUCAGAUUAGCUAGUUGGUGGGGUAAAGGCCUACCAAGGCAACGAUCUGUAGUUGGUCUGAGAGGACGACCAGCCACACUGGGACUGAGACACGGCCCAGACUCCUACGGGAGGCAGCAGUGGGGAAUUUUGGACAAUGGGCGCAAGCCUGAUCCAGCAAUGCCGCGUGCAGGAAGAAGGCCU